CCACCAUUAUCACCACACCCACCGCUACCAUAUCUUGGAGUUGCGUAUUUCAAUCCCAGCUACUUAUAUCUUCCCGCUGAUAACAAGACUCUAUGAAUCGAUCACCAAUAUGUUCCCUGAUUGCUAGUAGUAUCCGACAUAUUUUCUCCUUCAGCACAUCAAAUAAUAUCCAUAUGCUGACUUGAUGGUCAAGGGUGGUUGUGGAGCAGCGUCUGAGAAACCACCUUGAGGCAAAACAAGUCCUGAAUCCUAAAGCCAGUCAUGGACCAAUUACUGACUCCGCAGCUAGCAGAAUAGUUCCAUGUUUAUAAUUGAACCAUCAUCCCUUGCCUAUAGAUUACUAUCUUCUGUUUUGCUGGAAGUCACAAAUCUAUCAUCACCUCUGUCUCUCCAUCAAAAUACCCGAAAAUGCCGUGGUGUGAUAGGAAAAGCUUGCAGAUAGUAUCCAACUAUACAAUUCCACUGCCGAACCAAUAUGAAGGACAAUUUGUUGUGGGGUUACAGAAAAGGUUUGCCAAUUGCUUGAAAAACACUGCUGGAAGCAGAUGUUAUAAAUCUACGGACCAGGAAUUGAGAACCUAGAAAUGCUGUUCUUCAAUAUAAACUAGGCUCCCCUAUGACCACACCUCAUGCCUGAAGAUAUCACCUCAUACCCAUG
rnacentral:sRNA from 1 species